rnacentral:tRNA from 1 species
GUUCAACCCCAUCCCCCACUA